AGCUUUGGGGUGUAAACACGCCGGAUUGCAAAUCCGGAGAAGCAGAUUGACGUCUGCCGGGGCUU
rnacentral:tRNA from 1 species